CUAUAAAAUAGACCAGCUUUUCCACUCAACCUUCAGUCUUCACCCAGUGUUCAAUGUGAGAUUCAUACAGAACCACCUAUCAAGCGAAUCCAAGGAAUAAGGUGUCUGGGCUGAGGUAGGCUGUUGAAAGCAUGGUCACUGUAGCUUGAGGCAGAUGAAUAAAUCAGGUGACUUCUUCGGUGGAUCGGAGAUACGGGUAGGCGGCGGUCCGGGCUGCUCUUCGACUCGGUGGACGGCUCUCUCAGGCUCCCUCGGUGCAUGGAUGGUGUCGUCCGUCAGUGGUGCAGGCUGUCCCUCCAUGUGAUGGAUGGCGUCCUCGGGCUCCUCCUGGCGUCCGGUGCGGUGCGGGUCGACUCCAAGCUGGCUA